AAUAUUCGGAUCUCUCACCCCCCGAUGUGAAAAAUGUCAGAACAUCGUGAAGCCAGACAUCGUGUUUUUUGGGGAGAAUCUGCCCCCUCGUUUCUUCACUCUCAUGCAGUCGGAUUUCCAGAAUGCAGACAUGCUUAUUAUCAUGGGCACCUCACUUCAGGUCCAGCCUUUUGCCUCCCUGGUCAGCAGGGUACCUGCAAACACACCACGGCUUCUGAUCAAUAAGGAGAAGACGGGAGAGAGUGAUCCUUUCAUGUCCCUGAUGGGCUUAGGCUGCGGGAUGGAUUUUGA